AUUGAACGCUGGCGGCAGGCCUAACACAUGCAAGUCGAACGGUAGCACAGAGAGCUUGCUCUUGGGUGACGAGUGGCGGACGGGUGAGUAAUGUCUGGGAAACUGCCCGAUGGAGGGGGAUAACUACUGGAAACGGUAGCUAAUACCGCAUAACGUCGCAAGACCAAAGUGGGGGACCUUCGGGCCUCACACCAUCGGAUGUGCCCAGAUGGGAUUAGCUAGUAGGUGGGGUAAUGGCUCACCUAGGCGACGAUCCCUAGCUGGUCUGAGAGGAUGACCAGCCACACUGGAACUGAGACACGGUCCAGACUCCUACGGGAGGCAGCAGUGGGGAAUAUUGCACAAUGGGCGCAAGCCUGAUGCAGCCAUGCCGCGUGUAUGAAGAAGGCCUGGUGUAAGUACUUU
rnacentral:rRNA from 1 species